AGUAAGGAAGACUCAUGUGUAGAAUCGGCGUAGGAGUGAUACGUUCCAGCUCGCCUUCGUCUCCUCGUUCUUGCCCAUGUCAUACAGUCGGAAAGUGUUGUCACUUAGCACUUGGGAGAUAGCGUUAGGUCCUUCCCAAGUCGGAGCGAGCUUGUGGGAUUUCUUCCCCAAGAGUCAAAGGACUAGGUCCCCGACUAAAAAGGUACGUACACGCACGUGCCAACUGUGUAUCUUAGCAGUGUUUGUUGAUAGACGGAGGAUCGAACUAGGGCGGAUUCUCG
rnacentral:lncRNA from 1 species